GACAGACAGACAGACAGACAGACAGACAGACAGACAGACAGACAGACAGACAGACAGACAGACAGACAGACAGACAGACAGACAGACAGACAGACAGACAGACAGACAGACAGACAGACAGACAGACAGACAGACAGACAGACAAACAUAGAAGCAUAUGUGUGGUUAGCGGCACCAAAAAUACGUUUGUUAAAAUGCGGGGUUAGCGGCACCAACGUUUUCUUAUCGUAAAUAAACCCUGGGUUGGUUUAAUUGAAUAAAUAAGUCAAUAAACACUCGUUAAGCCAGGUUUGGUUACUUCUAGCACUUCGGAAAUCCGGUGCCGCUAAGCCCUCAAAAAAACAUUCAUGGUUUGUAAAAACACUGCCUUAGCGGCACCAAAAAGUAAUCAAUAUAAUUUUAUUUUAAUUACUUAUUUUAAAACUUUUAUGGCUUAUAGGAAAGAUAUGGAGUGAGCUUUUAUUCCUAAUCACAUGUUUUUGUUGUAUCUUAACCCGGUUCCGCUAUACCCACAAAAUGCCAUUGCCCAAAAGUUUGUUUAUCAUUUGGAUAUUGACAUUUUGGGUGUUUAAUGGCACCAAGAGAAGAGCAAGAUUAAAGUUGCACACUGAGGUAUUUUAAGCCGACAUUUUUGAUUUGAUAGCAAAAAUAAAGGACAAUACUAAAAAGCAUGAAUAGCAGAGGGAGGAGAAUAAAGAACUGAUUUAACUAGAAACUUUAAAAAAAGUGAAACUAAGGAAUGGAAAAUCCUUGAUAUGGAUAUAUGUUAUCAUCUAAAAGUGAAAGGGGAUGUUCCACGAGCUGUUGGCAACACCCAAAUUUGACCUGAACGCUUGGACAGAAAUGUAGUGAACAUGCAGAAUGAAAUAAUAUUGACGAAAGGUGUACUAAAAACGUUCCUUUGUAUUGUAGAUACCAAUAAAAGUUUAAACAUUGAAAAGAUACUUGUUUUAAAUGACAGUUUGUGUAAAAACACUAAGUUCCGGAUACAGAUAAAUUAUAGUGAACUCACUACAAGUGUCACUAUAGCUAAUAAAUCAUUUAUGGAGCAUAUUUAUUUUUAAUGAAUGGACAGCCUGAAUCUUUGAGCGUUAUCUUUUCUUUUUACUUUGUAUUCUUAUAUAUCACAGUAUGUGUAGUCAUUUUAGUAAUUCUUUAUGAAAUUUUGUAUAUCAUGAAAUACAAUAAUUUUACCUUUGUUGUA